ACACACACACACACACACACACACACACACACACACACACACACACACACAUAGUUUAUAUCACUUUCCAUUUAGUGUAAUAUUUCACAGAUUUCUUCUUCCAUAAACUUUAGGAAGAACUGCAGAAUAAAUGGAGGGAAAGGGUAGAGGACUACAACCGGUCUAACAGCCCAGAACUAAAGCCUGAUGACUUUGACAUUAAUGUGACCGAUCUCAAGAUAAAGAGGCUUCCUAAAUGGCUUGUUAGAGUGUACUACAAAACAGAUGUUGCUCAAGAGGUCCAGAAGAAAGCUCAGGAAUGCUUUCGUGAGUGGUGCAGAGAAGAUGACUUUAUUAAUUACACAGAUAAAACAGACCAUCUGGCUGAAGCCCAGAAGAUUCUACUAAAUAUUGUCAAUAGACGUCUGCCAAAGUGUAUUGGAGAGGCGCGACUGAAAGAAGAAGGAUUAAAGAAUCACUUGGAGAAGAUGGUUGACAAAUUAAAAACCAAAACCAAAGAUCUGACUGAUGUGGAGAGCAAAAUUUAUGACGAACUGUUGACCGGCUUGAAAGCCCAGCCUUGUGAUGUCUUCAAGAGAAAAGUGUUUCAGGACAUACUGCUGGCUGUUGUGGGAGAGCAGCCUGGUGAAGCCUUCAUGAUUAAGGAAAUAGCUGGGGCCAAAGCACUGCCUGAUAAAGCCUUCAAGACCAAACUGUAUCAGGUAUCAUUCCUGUGUUAUUUAGCUCAGCUACUUAUGUUACAUUUAUCAAUAUUGUAUAAUAAGCCCCUAUACAAACACAUAAAAAAAGAAUGACAUCUAU
ensembl:lncRNA